rnacentral:rRNA from 1 species
GUCCUAGCCGUAAACGGUGCAUGUUUGCUGUAAAAGGAAUCGACCCCUUUUGUGGCGUAGCUAACGCGUUAAACAUGCCGCCUGGGGAAGUACGGUCGCAAGAUUAAAACUCAAAGAAAUUGACGGGGGGCCUGCACAAGCGGUGGAGUAUGUGGCUCAAUUCGAUGCAACGCGAAGAACCUUACCUGGCCUUGACAUGUACGUAGUAGAAGGGUGAAAGCCUGACGAGGUAGCAAUACCAGCGUACACAGGUGCUGCAUGGCUGUCGU